rnacentral:rRNA from 1 species
CAGUAGCCGCGGGAAUACGAAGGGGGCUAGCGUUGCUCGGAAUCACUGGGCGUAAAGGGUGCGUAGGCGGGUCUUUAAGUCAGGGGUGAAAUCCUGGAGCUCAACUCCAGAACUGCCUUUGAUACUGAAGAUCUUGAGUUCGGGAGAGGUGAGUGGAACUGCGAGUGUAGAGGUGAAAUUCGUAGAUAUUCGCAAGAACACCAGUGGCGAAGGCGGCUCACUGGCCUGAUACUGACGCUGAGGCACGAAAGCGUGGGGAGCAAACAGGAUUAGAUACCCGUGUAGUCCCUGUCUCUUAUAC